AUGUGUAAACUUUACCUUUUGCCUACUCCGUCUGCCAGUGCCUUGAGAGUUCCCUUUGCAUAAACUUUACUUGGGUAUUUGUUAUCUACUCUACAGGCACGCUGUGAUCUUUAUUUUCCUUUCAACCCCAGCCACCAUCGAGCCUAAUAAGAACUGGCAUUAUGUUGAGUUUUUCUAAAAUGAUACUGGGGUUGAGGCUUAUGUUUAGGGAUGACAGCAAAACCCAGCCAAAGCUAUGUUCUGAAAAAGCUCAGGAAGGCACAGCAUGGAUGAGAGGAGUUCAGGGCUGCAGGAGAAGUCACCUCUUCGGCUGCCUGGUAGCCAGACUUGGUGUGAAGGACUCGAGGACUUGCAGGGGCCUUGAAAUCAUGAAGCAAAGAGGACAUUUAUGAAGUGAAGACAGAAGCAGAGCUUCCAUACCAGACCAUUGGAUUUCUUCUCCCUCUGUACAUAGCUUGAAGCUCAAGACAAUGAGGUGGAUUCUGAAGGUACAAUUUCUUUUGUGAGGUUCAACAGCAGAGAAGCUGGGUGAAGACCAAGCCUCCCCAGGUGGAGACAAACCCACAUGAGAGGAAAUGUGGACAACAGACAGAGCCCAGUCUUUUCAAGCUAAACAGGUCUAUGAUUCCAUAUGAGAGAGAAGAAUUAGCACAGAGCAAUGAAGAUCUGAAGAGCAAAGGCCUGAGUAGUCCCUGAACUGAAAGCAAGGUUUGGCACUCUGACAAAUCCUAUCAUGUCUGUACCAGGUGCUUUCAUAGCACUGCCCUGUGCAGUGUGCAUGCACUUCACAGGGGUUUCUGCACCCCAUCCACAGCUUAGCCAGUGGAUGGGGUGCAGAAAGCCCUAGAAAAGAGGAUCUGCACAUGGUAUGGGAAUUCCUGGAGAUACCUCAAACAGUUGUGCAGCACUGAAGGAUAUUUGUGUAGAAGCCAUAUGAUGUCUACAGAUCAACUAUUUGCAGUCAGGAAUUUACACACAAGGUUUUAGUAUUCCCACUGUUACUGUUACCCCCUAGUCAGCUACAAAACAUUCUGGAGUUUUAAGUGCUUUUAAAAACCCACAUCUUUCUAAGUUUUUUAAGUGGAGUUUAUGUGGGGGGAAAACCUCUACUGGAUACUUCUCCUACUCUUUUCUUUCACUUGGUAGGAUUUCUGGGAAGAGGCAUCCAGAAAUAGUGUUCCUGUGCUGAGGUGUCUUAGUCAUACAGGCUAAGUUUAUACUACAGAGCAAACAGUCCAAGUGCCUGUUCUCCAACCAUAGGGGCCAGCUGGCAUUGUCAUGACAUUCAGAUAUUACUAAGUUUUCUUUAUUUCCAAAAUGUGGACUAUUUCAAUCUGCCUGUUCUGAGUGGUCAUUCUCCCAUAUUAACUUCUGCACUGUGCCAGGAAAUUGUUUGUGAAAUGCUAGGUGAUUUUAACAAAACCAUGUCAGGGACCAUUCUCACAGUUUAACCAUGUAAGUAGCAGAGUUGUAGUGCCCAGAAUAUUCCCUGGCAUACUCAUAAAACAGGACUAUCGUGUCCAUAACUGGCAAUAGGAUGCCUUCUUGCUUGCAAGCCAGAAAUUAUUUUUGGCAGUUCAGUUCCUGUGUAUUGGAAUUACAUUUGAGAUAAAGACUAAAACAAGAAGGCAAAUUACAGACUGUUUAUCCCUCUUCAGUAUUCACAUAUUUUGGGUAAGAAAUUAGAGGCUGCCCUUUUGAUUAUUUGAGGUUUGAUUUAUGUUGUGAACUUAUUUGAUCUGCACUAUUUCAUUUUUCAUUUUAAAAUAGACCCAAAGACCCUGACCCUCUUAAAAAGAAAGAACAUUAG